AACUAAACCGGUUUUCGGUUGUCACUUCACGUAGUUUCUCGUGUGUCAGUCGGACGCGUAUUUGAAGGGAUUACUGAGAACUAAACUAAAAUGGAAAAAUAACACGGAAUAUGUACAGUAAAGUGUAGCAUAGCUCGGCUUAAGCGCGUCUAACGUGGCUGUGUUGAUACCCGAAUGACAACAAACAUCGGUUCGAAUUCCUACGACGACGGCUUCUGUCUCAAGUAUCAAAUCGUGCGUGUCGCUUCGGUCGUGCGUAUUACAUCGGCCGUGCGUGGUAUAUCGUUCGUUCGAAAAGUAUUUUACCGAUUCAGUUAAAUCUUUGGACAUUAGAAAAGUGUUUCUAGGUGUGUUUUGUUAACAACUGACUAUAUUGAACGACUGCAUGAAAGGGCAAACAUCAAAAACGCAGUGCUCCAGAAUUUGACUACUUUUGCAACCGGUUGGCCGCCAUCUUGGAUAAAAGCCAAUCCGUAGCUUCGCCAAUAACGAAUCAAAAUAACAUCCCUAUCAACGACCGAUUUCCCAGGAAAAUUCAGUCACCCAUCUGAGCCUGUUUGAUCUUAACGAACCUUCAUCAAGCAUUCUCUGUUUUACCCUCAUCGAGAAGCAACGAAUGCCUGGAAGACCUUUGAUCCUUGGUCAUCGAUAAAUUCAAACACUACCGACGAAAAAAAAAAAAGAAGAAAAAUGUCUGCUCGUUAAGAGAUUCACAGUCUGUUUUGAUUGGCUACAAAAGAGCUGCCAGGUGUACUGUGAUAUAGCUGAGAGAAAAAUGUAAAAAGUCUCGAAGAAACAAGUGGUGUUUAUUAAGUAGGAAGAGGAAACUUUCAAUGACUUUACAACCUCUUGCUGCUUCGACAUUGCUACAAUUGUAUAAUUUGCAAGAUGGUAGACGAGGAAAUCGUGUGCUCUCGCUGUUUUAGUCAUAAAUCUUGACGCAAUGUAACCGUUCCUGAAGUCAGUGAUUAACGAUGGAACAGAAAAUAUAGUGGUACCAUAAUAUACUUUAUUGGGGUAACGCAUUUUUCUCGGCUAAUGAAGUUUACAAGUGACACCACGUUCUUCUAACGAACACCUAUAACUUAUUUCUUCUUGUUUCCCUGCUUAGCAUGUGCCAUACCACGUAAUUGAGUACUUUAUUCGUUGCACUCUGUGAUCUUGGUGAUUCAAUUAACGUAAAUUAAUUUCUUGGGUUGGAGAUCUCGUUUCCUUCUUAAAUGAAGGACAAAAUAAAGGAAUAUCCUGAUUUUGUUUUAUUUAUUAUUUUUAAUUUAUUAUUUUAUGACAAGGAUUUUAUGACGUUUUUAAUAUCAGUGUAUUAUUAUAGUUUAUAAUUUCAUUAGGAUGAAAGUAAUACUAUUUAUUUGUAAACUGUAAAGAAUAUAAGAAGCAAAAAUUGUUAGUUUAGUAUAAAUAGUCAAAUUUCUAGGCUUUUUUUUUUAUGAAAUUAAUCUUACCAAAUUUAGAAAUUCCUAAACAAGUUUAAGUAAAUUUUUUAUUUUUUGUUCUUUAACGCAGCACAUUUUUAGCUAGCGUUAUUUCUUGCCAAUUUGAAACAUCUCCUCUCUACCCAUUUAUAUCACUGUCAAUUUAUAGUUAGCUCAAUUUCGCAAGUAACGCUACUCGACAACAUAGUCUUGAAGUUAAAAAUUGUAGAACGAAAAGUACGAAGAUGCAUGGUAUGUGAAUUAAAACCGAAUCACUCAGUGCCGACGUUGAAUGGAACAUUUCUUUUUAGAAAAAUCGGAAACAUUCUUUCGUUAUUAAAUUUGCUGCAGUUGCUCAUACAUCAACCUCUUCGCGUUGAAACUGUUACUAUUCUCCAAAUAUGUCAUUUGUUCUCUUCGUUUCUCCCAAUAGAAAAGUUCUUAUAUUAAAAUUGCAUAGUUUCAAAUAAUUUUAUAAAUUAAAAUAACGUUCUCUAUUCAACGAAUGAAUUGUAAACCGAGUUCCUUUUCUUUCUCUUAUUCCUUCUGGCUAGCUCCAUGUAGGUAGCU